rnacentral:lncRNA from 1 species
UUUUAGUAUAGUAUGGUGCUGAAAAUUCUGGGCAGGUUUGUCCUGUUCUAGGCUCUGUUUUACUGCUUUAAACUUGAAGUUUCUUUCUGAAAAUUUUACUGUAGGUUGGAAUAAUAUUCAGGAGUGUCUCAUAAAAAUUUUGUAUUUAAAAGAUAAAUUUUCAAUUUAUUAAAAAUCAUAGACCGAGGGCUGUUUGAACUAUUUGUUCUAGUUUUUCUUUCUUUGCUAGUGCAUAGUAUGAGGUUAUACUUGGCUAAUUGCAUAUGAUUGAUUAUUACAUUGAUUGGCUCGGUUAACCUUUAUAUCUAAUUAAACGUGCUUUGCGUAUAACAAAUUAGUAAUCCUGCUAAAAGAUUUUAUUAUAUGUUCACUACAAGUCAAGACAGAUUUUCUGUUCACUGCAAGCCAAGGGAUCUUUUUUUAUAUUAAUAAUUCAUGUGUUAGCAAUGGUAUUGGUUGGUUGUUGGUAUUGCAAACAGGUGGAUAGUCCGAUAAACAGAGGAGAUGAUGCCGAAUUUUCGUUAGGAAUUAUAUGUAUUUAAUGGCUAUAAAAAGGGGUUAUUUGUGCAAUUAUGUGUUAUGUGUUUAUCUGCCUAUGUGGUAUGUAUAUGCGAAGGGUAGAUAUAUAUAGGUCUUAAUACUUUUCAGAGUUAGUUAAUUUGUCUGAUCCGACGGUUAAAAUACUAUUUUACUAUCGUAUAGAAUUGAAGACAUUGACCGAGGCAUUGAUCGAGAAGUGAUUGAAAUGGGUAUCCAGAAUUAGCCAAGUAGUGUUGCAAGUUGAAGUAGGGCGGAGAUUUGUUAUAGAUAAAAGCUUGUCAGAAGCUGGCAGAAAGGAAUGAUAUGGCGGUAUAUAGUAUUAUUAGAAAUCUGACCUAGACACCAGAGUUAAGGCAAGUACUUCUACCUUUCUCUCGCAAUUUAGAAGCAAGUAUUUCUACCCUACUCCUCUAGUACCUAUAGAUACUAAAACCUUCUUUAUAUCAUGAUUCAAAUUAUUUGCAAUUACUUUCUUGUGAAGCAUAUCUAGUACUUUUAAACCUUUUGGUUGAACGGAUAACACUUUUGGUAUCGACUCUACACUAUGAUAUGCAUAAAGAAAUUGUUUUAACAAAAUGUUGUUCUGGCUCUUGAAUUACAUGAUAGAACUGCAGAUUGUUUUAAAAAUUAAACUGUUGGGUUGUUUUUGCGUAAGAGGCUCGGGCACCGGCCCAGCGUGAAAGGUGGCUCCUUAAGCCCGGAUUACCGGAAUUCGUAAUAUUUGUCAACCUUGCUGAAUAAGCUUGGUUUAUGGACUAUAGCAUGACUGAUCAUCUGUUAUAGCCAGGUGUCCAAUUAAUUUUAAAGCCCAAUAAAAUUGUGAAUAGUUUAAAAAGAAGUUACCCUGCCUUCAAGAGAUAUUUGCUUAUACAUUCAUUUCUGCAGUUUUAAAUAUUUUCACUUCUUUAUUAUGGCAUUGCUGUACAACAAAUAUCAAUUUCAUUUUGUUAUUCUUGCUGAGCAUUAUUGCUCAUUCUUGCUAUUCCUUCUAACCCUUUUCAGCUAGGAAUAAAGAUGAUUCACUUAAGACUAGGCAAGGAUUGCAAGUGGUUGAGUUUCAAGCAGAUGGACAGGUAGAGUAUUUAGGACGAUGUCAUUAAGACUAGAUGCAGUUGGAGUUCUGCAAUUCAAUUCAGUUGGAAAUUAGAUUUGUUUAUUUGGUUAUCAGCUACUCUUCUUAUCGAGGUUUAGCUGAUAAUGUUGUUUAAUUUGUAAAUAAGAUUUUAUAGUUUUAGUUUCUGAUUUCAAUGCUGUAGCCUGUAUGCGAUCCUGUUUUCAGGGGGUGAAAUUGAUUUUGAAUUAAAGACCUUCUUUUAAAAAAAUAAUAUCCAGGUUUAGAAAUACUUGUUUUUACUUUCUUCCAAAAAUACAGGUUUUAAAUUGUUUUUCUUUUAAUGGCUCAAAACUACAGGUUUUAAAUUAUUUUUAUUUACACGUGGCACCAGAUCUAGACCCCCGGAUUUGAGGGAUGUCACAGUUGGUAUCAGAGCUACAGGUUAUAAGUUAUUGAAAUCAGAAUGUAGGUUGUAACUUGUCUAAUAAGAUAGACACGUUAAGUGAAACCUCACAUAUAGGUAAGUUCAGAUUAGUGGUGUAACCUCAUAUAGAGGUAUCGUAAGACUAUUUGGGGAUAGUCCUUUUGAGCAUAAUAAAAUGAAGCUAAACGAUUAUGUUUAAGUGAUUAUGGUUAUAGACACAACAAUUCCUAAUUCUAGUUCUUCCAGUCCCUAGUGGCCUAGUUUAUUGACCAAUUCAGAUUUAUAUCAUUGUAAGAGGGUCAAAGUUAGACCUAUCAACAGAACCUUCAAGCUAGAACCAGUAGAGAUUCUCACACAGUCUAAUGUAUCCUUUAUAGUAUCUUCCAAGUGUUGAGUAUUAUUUGAAGAGUCACCUUUUGAUUCUUGUCAGAGAUAUCUAGAAUUGGUGAAAGAAUAGAGGUGUUAACAAGUCCGAGUUUACAGCUUUGUAUAUAGUUAAGUAGUGAGCGUUAGAGCUACGUAGAGUUUGUGUUAGAUUAUUCGAUCUAGUACUUAUGUGUGAGUUAAGAUGUCAACGCUCUAUGGUGAUGAUUGUAUAAAGUUGGAUAAGACUUUUGACCGACAACGAUAUCAAUGAUGGGAUCUUCAGAGGCUAUUACUAGUCAACGAUAAUAUAUGCAAGUGGUCACUAAAACGUCAAGAAAAAUCACUAGAAUCAGAACGAGUCAUCAAAAGAAUCGAUCAAAAAGACAUCUGUGAGAAUCCUGGCAAUACCUUCCUCAUUGUUGAUAUAUUGAUUUCUUUCCCCAUCAAUGAUUUGUUCUGACAUCACUUUAAAAAAAAAAAAUAUUUGAUAAAGAGUAUAUUUUUACCUUUCACUCGAGUUCUCGAAUGAUACUUGUGCUUACUGUCACACCUAUAGAAUCUAUUCAAUCUUGGUAAUUUCGAACCCUUUCAUAUUCUUUACUCUAACUGAGAUGAACAACCCUACCUAUAGGGGACACAAGGACUACCUGUCUGUGUGAUAGGAGUUGGAUGGGACGCCAUCACUUGUGUGUGUUGUACAUUACAAGAAGGUUAACUACCUUUAGUAGUGUCUUAAAUUAGACACGCAACACCGAGUUCUAUAGACCAUAUUGAUCUCUCAGUUAUUCAUUUAUUUCAAUCACGUAACACUUGCUCCAAUAUGUGAAAUCUGUCAUAUCUUUUACCUUCAAGAUUCUUCUAAUCUCUAAUAGUUGGAGGUAUGCCAACCGAGUUGCCAAUAUGAAUUAAGACUUUGUAGUAAGAAGCACCAGGGAUGAAAGCGAAUGACAAUGCUGGUUAUAUCAGAAAGGAAUAUUAUGGAUUAUAGAGAUCGUACACUCUAGUUUUCUUUUUGAUGAUUCCGAGGACGGAAUCUUUUUAAGGGGGGUAGAUUGUGACGACCCGGAUUUUCAGAAAUUAUUUUAUUAUUUUUAUUCAUGAUUAUUCGAGACAAAUGAGGAAUAAAUUUCAAUAUUUUAUUCUAGUUUGAUAAUUUUCAAAAAUAUUUGUUUAAAUUAUUUUCCUAGUCAUUGUGAUUAUGAGAAAAUAUCUGUUGAUUGUACAAUUAUAUGUUACGAGAUUUAAUUGAAUUAGUUGUCUACUAUUAUGUCUGUGUGUGCAUUUAUUUUUACUUUUAAUAUUACUGUAUUGUUUUAUUGAAAUUUAUUAUCCUCUUAAAUGGAUAUUUAUUUUUGUAAAAAUACAAAGAUAAUUUCAAAAAUUAUUUUAAUUGCUCGAUAGUGAUCAUAAAUAUGUUUAGAAGUUUUUAAAAUAUUAAAAAUCCAAUUUCUACAAGGACAUGAUUUUUAAUUAGUUUCUAAACGCAGCUAACUUCUUAAUUUUGUAUAAAUUUUGAAAAUGCUCUAUAAAUCUUGAAACUUUUAUUUUAUGAGUUUUAUAAUAUUCGGUAAUUUAUAAAAUUAGUUUGUUAAUUUUUCGAGAAAGUUUUAAUGCGAGUUAUCCCGUAAAUCAACUAAAUAGCGGGUGUUUGGAUGAUUAUUCAGCUUAAAAUAAAACGUGGCAGCCUUUGGCCAAACCACGUGCCCUGCUUUUCACCACCGCCAUCCCUUUUCUUCAUUUUAUAUACAUCAGCCUCUCAAUCUCUCUCUCUCUCUCUCUGUGAAAUCCUCCAUCUCUCCCUCUCCGCUCCUCUUUCUUUUCUCACCCAUCUUCCUCUCUUUCUUGGCAUCACCGUCCCUUCCCUGCAGCCGCCGAAUUAUGCCGUUAUGCCGCUGCCACCUCUUUCCAGCGACCACCAUAGCCCUGCACCAAUUAUAAAUCAGUGGGUGUAAAGCUUAAUUUCUCUUUGUCAAAUCAGUUCUAUAUAAACGUAUAUAUACAUGUGGUGUUGUGUUUAUAUGGAUUAAAUUGAUUUAUAUAAUCGAUUUAUGUGUGCUUGUAUGUAUAUAAACUGAUUAUAUGCUGGUUUUUGAAAUUUGAAGGUUGAUUGAAUUUUUGAGAUUGAGAUUGGUGUUAGUAAUCGUAUGAUUGAAUUGUGUGCUUAAUUGAUAUUUGAAUUGGUUGUUGUAAGUUGAUUAUAAAUAGUGCGCCAAUUAGUAGUGUAAUCGGAUGACUUGGGUACUUGAAUUAUGGGAAUAUAUAACUGAGUAUUCAAGCUUUAAGGUCUGAGAUUUUUGUAAAUGUUUUCAAAGUGGUGUUUUAAGAGUUUAAGUAUUGGGCUAAAAAAAAAUUUUGAUUUACACAUAUUCGGUUGAAUUCUAGAUUGCUGUUGAUCUGUUUUGAAUUACAACUCUGGGAUCAUAGAGUUGAAUUAUAUGCUUAAUAUUUGUGUGGUUAUGUGCUCCUUAGAGUCUAGUUUAUGUGCGCGAAAGAACCGAAUCGAUUCGAUUAGCGAGCUAGGAGAUAUGACCGUUUUAGUAUAGUAUGGUGCUGAAAAUUCUGGGCAGGUUUGUCCUGUUCCAGGCUCUGUUUUACAGCUUUAAACUUGGAUUUUCUUUCUGAAAAUUUUACUGUAGGUUGGAAUAAUAUUUAGGAGUGUCUCAUAAAAAUUUCGUAUUAAAAAGAUAAUUUUUCAAUUUAUUAAAAAUCAUAGACCGAGGGCUGUUUGAACUAUUUGUUCUAUUUUUCUUUCUUUGCUAGUGCAUAGUAUGAGGUUAUACUUGACUAAUUGCAUAUGAUUGAUUAUUACAUUGAUUGGCUCGGUUAACCUUGUAUAUCUAAUUAAAAGUGUUUUGCGUAUAACAAGUUAGCAAUCCUGCUAAAAGAUUUUAUUAUAUGUUUACUACAAGUCAAGACAGAUUUUCUUAUGUGUUUACUGCAAGUCAAGGGAUCUUUUUAUAUUAAUAAUUCAUGUGUUAGCAAUAGUAUUGGUUGGUUGUUGGCAUUGCAAACAGGUGGAUAAGCUUAUAAACAGAGGAGAUGCUGCCGAAUUUUCGUUAGAAAUUAUAUGGAUUUAAUGCCUAUAAAAAGGGUUGUUUGUACAACUAUGUGCUAUGUGUUUAUGUGACUGUGGUAUGUAUAUGCGAAGGGUAGAUAUAUAUAUAGGUCUUAAUGCAAUUCAGGGUUAGUCAAUAUGUCUAAUCCGACGACUGAAAUACUAUUUUAUCAUCGUAUAGAAUUGAAGACAUUGACCGAGGCAUUAAUCGAGAAGUGAUUGAAAGGGGUAUUCAGAAAUAGCCAAGCAGAAUGUUACAAGUUGAAGUAGGACGGAGAUUUGUUAUAGAUAAAAGUGUGUCAGAAGCUGGCAGAAAGGAAUGAUUAUGCGGUAUAUAGUGUUACUAGGAAUCUGAGCUAAACUUUGGAGUUAAGGCAAGUACUUCUACCUUCUCUCGCAAUUUAGAAGCAAGUAUUUCUACCCUACUCCUCUAGUACCUAUAGAUACUAAAACCUUCUUUAUAUCAUGAUUCAAAUUAUUUGCAAUUACUUUCUUGUGAAGCAUAUCUAGUACUUUUAAACUUUUUGGUUGAACGGAUAACACUUUUGGUAUCAACUCUACACUAUGAUAUGCAUAAAGAAAUUGUUUUAACAAAAUGUUAUUCUGGCUCUUGAAUUACAUGAUGGAACUGCAGAUUGUUUUAAAAAUUAAACUAUUGGGUUGUUUUUGCGUAAGAGGCUCGGGCACCGGCCCAGCGUGAAAGGUGGCUCCUUAAGCCCGGAUUACCGGAAUUCGUAAUAUUUGUCAACCUUGCUGAAUAAGCUUGGUUUAUGGACUAUAGCAUGACUGAUCAUCUGUUAUAGCCAGGUGUCCAAUUAUUUUUAAAGCCCAAUAAAAUUGUGAAUAGUUUAAAAAGAAGUUACCCUGCCUUCAAGAGAUAUUUGCUUAUACAUUCAUUUCUGCAGUUUUAAAUAUUUUCACUUCUUUAUUAUGGCAUUGCUGUACAACAAAUAUCAAUUUCAUUUUGUUAUUCUUGCUGAGCAUUAUUGCUCAUUCUUGCUAUUCCUUCUAACCCUUUUCAGCUAGGAAUAAAGAUGAUUCACUUAAGACUAGGCAAGGAUUGCAAGUGGUUGAGUUUCAAGCAGAUGGACAGGUAGAGUAUUUAGGACGAUGUCAUUAAGACUAGAUGCAGUUGGAGUUCUGCAAUUCAAUUCAGUUGGAAAUUAGAUUUGUUUAUUUGGUUAUCAGCUACUCUUCUUAUCGAGGUUUAGCUGAUAAUGUUGUUUAAUUUGUAAAUAAGAUUUUAUAGUUUUAGUUUCUGAUUUCAAUGCUGUAGCCUGUAUGCGAUCCUGUUUUCAGGGGGUGAAAUUGAUUUUGAAUUAAAGACCUUCUUUUAAAAAAAAAAAAUAUCCAGGUUUAGAAAUACUUGUUUUUACUUUCUUCCAAAAAUACAGGUUUUAAAUUGUUUUUCUUUUAAUGGCUCAAAACUACAGGUUUUAAAUUAUUUUUAUUUACACGUGGCACCAGAUCUAGACCCCCGGAUUUGAGGGAUGUCACAGUUGGUAUCAGAGCUACAGGUUAUAAGUUAUUGAAAUCAGAAUGUAGGUUGUAACUUGUCUAAUAAGAUAGACACGUUAAGUGAAACCUCACAUAUAGGUAAGUUCAGAUUAGUGGUGUAACCUCAUAUAGAGGUAUCGUAAGACUAUUUGGGGAUAGUCCUUUUGAGCAUAAUAAAAUGAAGCUAAACGAUUAUGUUUAAGUGAUUAUGGUUAUAGACACAACAAUUCCUAAUUCUAGUUCUUCCAGUCCCUAGUGGCCUAGUUUAUUGACCAAUUCAGAUUUAUAUCAUUGUAAGAGGGUCAAAGUUAGACCUAUCAACAGAACCUUCAAGCUAGAACCAGUAGAGAUUCUCACACAGUCUAAUGUAUCCUUUAUAGUAUCUUCCAAGUGUUGAGUAUUAUUUGAAGAGUCACCUUUUGAUUCUUGUCAGAGAUAUCUAGAAUUGGUGAAAGAAUAGAGGUGUUAACAAGUCCGAGUUUACAGCUUUGUAUAUAGUUAAGUAGUGAGCGUUAGAGCUACGUAGAGUUCGUGUUAGAUUAUUCGAUCUAGUACUUAUGUGUGAGUUAAGACGUCAACGCUCUAUGGUGAUGAUUGUAUAAAGUUGGAUAAGACUUUUGACCGACAACGAUAUCAAUGAUGGGAUCUUCAGAGGCUAUUACUAGUCAACGAUAAUAUAUGCAAGUGGUCACUAAAACGUCAAGAAGAAUCACUAGAAUCAGAACGAGUCAUCAAAAGAAUCGAUCAAGAAGACAUCUGUGAGAAUCCUGGCAAUACCUUCCUCAUUGUUGAUAUAUUGAUUUCUUUCCCCAUCAAUGAUUUGUUCUGACAUCACUUAAAAAAAAAAAUAUUUGAUAAAGAGUAUAUUUUUACCUUUCACUCGAGUUCUCGAAUGAUACUUGUGCUUACUGUCAGACCUAUAGAAUCUAUUCAAUCUUGGUAAUUUCGAACCCUUUCAUAUUCUCUACUCUAACUGAGAUGAACAACCCUACCUAUAGGGGACACAAGGACUACCUGUCUGUGUGAUAGGAGUUGGAUGGGACGCCAUCACUUGUGUGUGUUGUACAUUACAAGAAGGUUAACUACCUUUAGUAGUGUCUUAAAUUAGACACGCAACACCGAGUUCUAUAGACCAUAUUGAUCUCUCAGUUAUUCAUUUAUUUCAAUCACGUAACACUUGCUCCAAUAUGUGAAAUCUGUCAUAUCUUUUACCUUCAAGAUUCUUCUAAUCUCUAAUAGUUGGAGGUAUGCCAACCGAGUUGCCAAUAUGAAUUAAGACUUUGUAGUAAGAAGCACCAGGGAUGAAAGCGAAUGACAAUGCUGGUUAUAUCAGAAAGGAAUAUUAUGGAUUAUAGAGAUCGUACGCUCUAGUUUUCUUUUUGAUGAUUCCGAGGACGGAAUCUUUUUAAGGGGGGUAGAUUGUGACGACCCGGAUUUUCAGAAAUUAUUUUAUUAUUUUUAUUCAUGAUUAUUCGAGACAAAUGAGGAAUAAAUUUCAAUAUUUUAUUCUAGUUUGAUAAUUUUCAAAAAUAUUUGUUUAAAUUAUUUUCCUAGUCAUUGUGAUUAUGAGAAAAUAUCUGUUGAUUGUACAAUUAUAUGUUACGAGAUUUAAUUGAAUUAGUUGUCUACUAUUAUGUCUGUGUGUGCAUUUAUUUUUACUUUUAAUAUUACUGUAUUGUUUUAUUGAAAUUUAUUAUCCUCUUAAAUGGAUAUUUAUUUUUGUAAAAAUACAAAGAUAAUUUCAAAAAUUAUUUUAAUUGCUCGAUAGUGAUCAUAAAUAUGUUUAGAAGUUUUUAAAAUAUUAAAAAUCCAAUUUCUACAAGGACAUGAUUUUUAAUUAGUUUCUAAACGCAGCUAACUUCUUAAUUUUGUAUAAAUUUUGAAAAUGCUCUAUAAAUCUUGAAACUUUUAUUUUAUGAGUUUUAUAAUAUUCGGUAAUUUAUAAAAUUAGUUUGUUAAUUUUUCGAGAAAGUUUUAAUGCGAGUUAUCCCGUAAAUCAACUAAAUAGCGGGUGUUUGGAUGAUUAUUCAGCUUAAAAUAAAACGUGGCAGCCUUUGGCCAAACCACGUGCCCUGCUUUUCACCACCGCCAUCCCUUUUCUUCAUUUUAUAUACAUCAGCCUCUCAAUCUCUCUCUCUCUCUCUCUGUGAAAUCCUCCAUCUCUCCCUCUCCGCUCCUCUUUCUUUUCUCACCCAUCUUCCUCUCUUUCUUGGCAUCACCGUCCCUUCCCUGCAGCCGCCGAAUUAUGCCGCUGCCACCUCUUUCCGGCGACCACCAUAGCCCUGCACCAAUUAUAAAUCAGUGGGUAUAAAGCUUAAUUUCUCUUUGUCAAAUCAGUUCUAUAUAAACGUAUAUAUACAUGUGGUGUUGUGUUUAUAUGGUUUAAUUUGAUUUAUAUAAUCGAUUUAUGUGUGCUUGUAUGUAUAUAAACUGAUUAUAUGCUGGUUAUUGAAAUUUGAAGGUUGAUUGAAUUUUUGAGAUUGAGAUUGGUGUUAGUAAUCGUAUGAUUGAAUUGUGUGCUUAAUUGAUAUUUGAAUUGGUUGUUGGAGGUUCAUUAUAAAUGGUGCGCCAACUAGUAGUGUAAUCGGAUGACUUGGGUACUUGAUUUAUGGGAAUAUAUAACUGAGUAUUAAAGCUUUAAGGUCUGAGAUUUUGUGUAAAUGUUUUCAGAAUGGUGUUUUAAGAGUUUAAGUAUUGAGCUAAAAAAAAUUUAGAUUUACACAUAAUCGGUUGAAUUGUAAGUUGCUGCUGAUCUGUUUUGCAGUAAAAUUCUGGGCUUCUAGAGUCGAAUUAUAUGCUUAAUAUUUUUGUGGUUAUGUGCUCCUCAGAGUCUAGUUUAUGUGCGCAAAAGAAUCGAAUCAAUUCGAUUAGCGAGCUAGGAGAUAUGACCGUUUUAGUAUAGUAUGGUGCUGAAAAUUCUGGGCAGGUUUGUCCUGUUCCAGGCUCUGUUUUACAGCUUUAAACUUGGAUUUUCUUUCUGAAAAUUUUACUGUAGGUUGGAAUAAUAUUUAGGAGUGUCUCAUAAAAAUUUCGUAUUUAAAAGAUAAAUUUUCAAUUUAUUAAAAAUCAUAGACCGAGGGCUGUUUGAACUAUUUGUUCUAUUUUUCUUUCUUUGCUAGUGCAUAGUAUGAGGUUAUACUUGACUAAUUGCAUAUGAUUGAUUAUUACAUUGAUUGGCUCGGUUAACCUUGUAUAUCUAAUUAAAAGUGUUUUGCGUAUAACAAGUUAGCAAUCCUGCUAAAAGAUUUUAUUAUAUGUUUACUACAAGUCAAGACAGAUUUUCUUAUGUGUUUACUGCAAGUCAAGGGAUCUUUUUAUAUUAAUAAUUCAUGUGUUAGCAAUAGUAUUGGUUGGUUGUUGGCAUUGCAAACAGGUGGAUAAGCUUAUAAACAGAGGAGAUGCUGCCGAAUUUUCGUUAGAAAUUAUAUGGAUUUAAUGCCUAUAAAAAGGGUUGUUUGUACAACUAUGUGCUAUGUGUUUAUGUGACUGUGGUAUGUAUAUGCGAAGGGUAGAUAUAUAUAUAGGUCUUAAUGCAAUUCAGGGUUAGUCAAUAUGUCUAAUCCGACGACUGAAAUACUAUUUUAUCAUCGUAUAGAAUUGAAGACAUUGACCGAGGCAUUAAUCGAGAAGUGAUUGAAAGGGGUAUUCAGAAAUAGCCAAGCAGAAUGUUACAAGUUGAAGUAGGACGGAGAUUUGUUAUAGAUAAAAGUGUGUCAGAAGCUGGCAGAAAGGAAUGAUUAUGCGGUAUAUAGUGUUACUAGGAAUCUGAGCUAAACUUUGGAGUUAAGGCAAGUACUUCUACCUUCUCUCGCAAUUUAGAAGCAAGUAUUUCUACCCUACUCCUCUAGUACCUAUAGAUACUAAAACCUUCUUUAUAUCAUGAUUCAAAUUAUUUGCAAUUACUUUCUUGUGAAGCAUAUCUAGUACUUUUAAACCUUUUGGUUGAACGGAUAACACUUUUGGUAUCGACUCUACACUAUGAUAUGCAUAAAGAAAUUGUUUUAACAAAAUGUUGUUCUGGCUCUUGAAUUACAUGAUAGAACUGCAGAUUGUUUUAAAAAUUAAACUGUUGGGUUGUUUUUGCGUAAGAGGCUCGGGCACCGGCCCAGCGUGAAAGGUGGCUCCUUAAGCCCGGAUUACCGGAAUUCGUAAUAUUUGUCAACCUUGCUGAAUAAGCUUGGUUUAUGGACUAUAGCAUGACUGAUCAUCUGUUAUAGCCAGGUGUCCAAUUAAUUUUAAAGCCCAAUAAAAUUGUGAAUAGUUUAAAAAGAAGUUACCCUGCCUUCAAGAGAUAUUUGCUUAUACAUUCAUUUCUGCAUUUUUAAAUAUUUUCACUUCUUUAUUAUGGCAUUGCUGUACAACAAAUAUCAAUUUCAUUUUGUUAUUCUUGCUGAGCAUUAUUGCUCAUUCUUGCUAUUCCUUCUAACCCUUUUCAGCUAGGAAUAAAGAUGAUUCACUUAAGACUAUGCAACGAUUGCAAGAGGUUGAGUUUCAAGCAGAUGGACAGGUAGAGUAUUUAGGACGAUGUCAUUAAGACUAGAUGCAG